UGUGUGUGUAUGGUUUUAUAUGUAUACAUUGAUGUUUAUGCCAAUACCCUCACUUAGAGACAAUAAUUCAAUCAUGAGGUGGUGGGGUUCUGUAUAGGCUGUGUGUUUGGACUUUAGAUGGGAUUCUUGACGAGUCUCUUUAUGGUGGCUUGGAGGAGAGACUCGGAUCUGAUUGACUGAUGGCAAUUGACUUUUAAUGAACUAAUUGAUGCCAGAGGAAACACGGGAUGGGGAUAGGGUGUUCCUCUUUAUGAAAAGGGCGGCCGACAGAUGGACGGAAGAGGUGGGGGAAGACACGAGAGUUCCAUAGGAGGGAGAGGUCACGAUACGGAAGGAGCCGGGGGCAGCAGUGGAGUGACCAACGCCGGAAAGUGACCGAUACAACGCAAGCUGUGUUUGAUUAAGGAACGUCUGAACUGUCUAUCCCGCUGCAUGUUGAUACUAUAGCCGCUCCUGGAGUAGCAGAUUGUGCCCUGAUUUUCGUGUGUUGACAGGAGGCGCAACGCGACUGGGACACCGGCAUCUGACCAGGAUCACAACCAGGAAGUGGAGUAUGAAGACUUACGAUGGAUGAUCUGUCUUGCUACGCUCUCAAUUCGUCUUGAGAAGGGAAGUUAUGGUUCCAAUCUGUUAAUCCCCUGCCGUGCCACCGUCUAAAUGAUUUGCUGUAGCUAUGCACUGAGUUGUUCUGUUGUGAUUUCCCCUGUAGCUGGAGGCGGAGCUUCGAGACACUACGCUGCUGCAAUUGCAAAGGCACGUUUGUGGUGCUCUGGACUGCGCGACUCUGCCUACGCAAGAACGUGACGUCACUGAUCUGCAUCCCAUGGACUUCGGACACUAAUAGGCCAUUUGAGAGUGGGUAGGUGCCAUCUUCUUGUGCUUUGUGUCUGGACUUUUUAUUUACUGGUCGGAAGUGGUCGCCGACCAGUACGGACUCAUUUUAUUUUGUGCAGGACUGUUAUAUGAGUUGGGCUGGGGACAUCAGGAGUGGUCUGUUGCCACCUGCUGACCUUUGGUUAAUUGCCUUCCCUGCCCCCCUCUGGUGUGGAAUGAUAUCACUGUGAUGUUGUUGGCUUGAUGAAUUGAUGUGGAUAUUAUGUGAUUUAACCUGUGAUGUGCCAAUGAAUGCUGUGUCUAGUCACCUAACCUUGCUGUGGGUCUGCAUGAAUUUAUAUUUAUACCUGGGGUGGGUUUUGGUUCUCUAGCCUAUGUUGUUAGUUGGGGGAGUGACUGCCCUGGUGGUGGCCUGUUAUAUCUGCCUACUUUCCAACAGUCCUGUUAUCUAUUUUGUGCUUGUUUAAAUAAACUUUUGUGGUAAAUUA